rnacentral:rRNA from 1 species
UGGCGACCGGCGCACGGGUGAGUAACGCGUAUGCAACCUGCCCGAUACCGGGGUAUAGCCCAUGGAAACGUGGAUUAACACCCCAUAGUACUUUUAUCCUGCAUGGGAUGUGAGUUAAAUGUUCAAGGUAUCGGAUGGGCAUGCGUCCUAUUAGUUAGUUGGCGGGGUAACAGCCCACCAAGACGAUGAUAGGUAGGGGUUCUGAGAGGAAGGUCCCCCACAUUGGAACUGAGACACGGUCCAAACUCCUACGGGAGGCAGCAGUGAGGAAUAUUGGUCAAUGGACGUAAGUCUGAACCAGCCAAGUCGCGUGAGGGAAGACUGCCCUAUGGGUUGUAAACCUCUUUUAUAAGGGAAGAAUAAGUUCUACGUGUAGAAUGAUGCCUGUACCUUAUGAAUAAGCAUCGGCUAACUCCGUGCCAGCAGCCGCGGUAAUACGGAGGAUGCGAGCGUUAUCCGGAUUUAUUGGGUUUAAAGGGUGCGUAGGCGGUUUAUUAAGUUAGUGGUUAAAUAUUUGAGCUAAACUCAAUUGUGCCAUUAAUACUGGUAAACUGGAGUACAGACGAGGUAGGCGGAAUAAGUUAAGUAGCGGGGAAAUGCAUAGAUAUAACUUAGAACUCCGAUAGCGAAGGCAGCUU